GCCGCCGCGGUAAUACGUAGGGUGCGAGCGUUGUCCGGAAUUACUGGGCGUAAAGAGCUCGUAGGUGGUUUGUCGCGUUGUUCGUGAAAUCUCAUGGCUUAACUGUGAGCGUGCGGGCGAUACGGGCAGACUUGAGUACUGCAGGGGAGACUGGAAUUCCUGGUGUAGCGGUGGAAUGCGCAGAUAUCAGGAGGAACACCGGUGGCGAAGGCGGGUCUCUGGGCAGUAACUGACGCUGAGGAGCGAAAGCGUGGGGAGCGAACAGGAUUAGAUACCCUGGUAGUCCACGCCGUAAACGGUGGGUACUAGGUGUGGGUUUCCUUCCUUGGGAUCCGUGCCGUAGCUAACGCAUUAAGUACCCCGCCUGGGGAGUACGGCCGCAAGGCUAAAACUCAAAGAAAUUGACGGGGGCCCGCACAAGCGGCGGAGCAUGUGGAUUAAUUCGAUGCAACGCGAAGAACCUUACCUGAGUUUGACAUGCACAGGACGCCGGCAGAGAUGUCGGUUCCCUUGUGGCCUGUGUGCAGGUGGUGCAUGGGCUGUCGUCAGCUCGUGUCGUGAGAUGUUGGGUUAAGUCCCGCAACGAGCGCAACCUUGUCUCAUGUUGCCAGCGGGUAAUGC
rnacentral:rRNA from 1 species